rnacentral:sRNA from 1 species
UAUUCAUUGAUUUGCGAUAGAACUUGUUAAUUAGCGCACGGCUCAUUUCUUAUUUUGAGCCAUCCCCUGAGCCCGAAACUCCUCGUUUCGGGCUAUUUUUU